AACUAAAAAAUUAAUAAAUAUGAUAAGUGGAGAACUUCCCUUAUAGCUGCCACUACCAUUUCUCUGCAAGCAAAAAGUCAGAUAUUGAAAGAAAAACUGGGCGGCCAAGCAGUUAAGAUGCUGGGCUUGUCGACCAGAAGGUUGGCAGUUCAAGACCCAAGUACCACAUGAUGGGAUGAGCUCCUGUUCUUGCCCCAGUUCCUGUCAACCUAGCAGUUCGAAAGCAUGCAAAGCCAAGUAGAUAAAUAGGUAUCACUUCGGUGGGAAGGCAACAGCAUUCCAUGCACCUCGGCAUAUAGUCAUGCUGGCAACAUGAACACAGAAGUGUCCUUGGAUAACACUGACUUCCUCAGGGUGACAAAUUCCACUGCUGCAGUAAAAAUUUCUUAUGAUGAACUCUUCUGACUCUCUUCUAUGGGACUACAAAUAUAACUACUGUGUACUGUCCUUGAAUAAAACUUGGACGUUGAUGGAGAAAUAGUAGUCAUUUUAUGUUAGCUGAAUCGGCUUAAUAUAAAGAGCCUAUUAUUUUUCCACUGGUGUUCAAGUACCAUUUCUAAGCAAUUGUUAAGAAAAUGUAUGUGUAUAUAGUAAAUACUUCAGCAAAAAUACUCCCAGUAUAGUUCACUAAAAAUAAUCAUUUAAAUUUGAUUUCCUAUGGAUCAGUUAUAGCUAAAAUAACAUUGAAGAAAUUGACUUAUAUCUUUUAUUCACCUCUAGAAUUGUUGAUCAUGCACCUUAAUCUGAUUUUUAGUAGAAACCAGAAAAACUAAUUUAUCUUCCCUCCCUUCACUCUCCAAAAAAUCAAGGCAAUUACAACUACUUUUUUUGUUGUUGUUUUUGCUGUUCUUUCUACCAAUUCAGCCAUGCUGCAUCUCCUUCACAUUUUCUGUUCCUGGAAAGUUCUUAUGACAAAGAGCCCUGAAACAAUUAAUACAGAACCUACUGCUUUUUUAGUCCAUAUAUCUAGAAUCUCCCACCUUGGGAGAGAAGAAAAUCUGUGAACUUUUUUAUUUUCCCCCUCCACUAUUGAUUGGCUGCACUUUUGGGAUUUCUAAUCAGCAACUAGACUUGGAUUGGAGGAGAACAUCAAUAUAAAACUCCCAAGGGAAGAAAAAAGGAUUGAACCAGGUUUCACAGGCAAAAUAAGAGAGUAUGUAUAAGUAGCAUUUCUAUUUUAGGUAAAUCAGAGAUAAUAAAUCAAUAGGGUUCCCCCCCCUUUUUUUUUUAAAUUCCAGUUAGCAGUUAAUCAGGUUUUGUAAUGAACAGCUAAUUCUAUUGGAUCUUUGAUGUAUUCAAAAAGAAUAUGUUAUUGCAGUCACUAUAUGUUACUUAUAUAGAAUAUAGGUUUUUUAAAAUAUAUUUUAACAUAUUACAAUAUUCGUUGAUGAUAAUUUGUGCUAAUUUAAGCAAUUUCAUAUAUUGUUUGUACAUUUUACACUAGUGGAGAAGACAGUGUAGGCUGACCCUACUGUUACCUCAUGCAGCUAUUCCCAAGACCUUAACUCUGAUUUCUAGGGCACAGCCCUCUUUCCCAAUGCUUACAUGAAUAGAACAGUUAUGUACUGGAUGCCAAAUAAUUACAUAUUUAGACAUAUAAAUGUCUAAAGACAUUUGUAUAGCUAGAUCUCAAAGAAACAAACUAUGGGAUGUGUGCAAAAACAAACCAAAUAAACAGUACCAUACAAUCUGGGCUGUCACGGGCUGUGGGCUGAAUGCAUCAUGUGCUGGCCACGCCCAUGCCCGGUUUAGCAAGAGGGGGAGUCACAAUACAUCACGUCACAUUGCCGUGACAAUGUGGGUUUGACACCCCUGACCUAGGCAAUCUUUUAUGAAAUUGCUUAUGAGCCCCAAAGUUAUAACAGAAAAUAUUAAUUUCUUUUAAUUCGUUCUACACAUUGUUUUGUUUACAUGAGGCUAUGUAGACAUAAAUAUGCAAUCAAUUUUUUUGGUCUUAUUUUCAGGUGGAUUAAUUCAUAGUUAAUCCAAGUAAGCAAUUUAAUCUCUCUUAACUAUAGACCGUUCAUUAUCAAAUCUUACAUAGUACCAAAAAUACAGAAACAACUGCAUUUAUUCACUGAGAAUCAGAAAAUGCAAAAUGAUCAGAACUGAUAAAUAGGGGUUGUUCUGAUCUUUCUAGAAAUAAUCAGGCUCCAAAGUCCAAUUUCAAACACCUUUAAACUGGACUCUUUACAUCUCAAACAUUUUUCCAGCUGUUUAUAACAACUUGCCUCAAAUUUAAAUCAUCCUAACUUGUAAUUCAGUAUUUCAAAGCUUUACAAUUUAAACUUACAUUUAUUUUAAAUGUAAAUAUUAUAAAAUUGAACGUCUAAAUCAUAUUUAAGUUGCAACCUGUUAAACAUUAUAAUGGUCAUGAGAAGAUAUAUGAUUAUUUAUGAA